rnacentral:rRNA from 1 species
UACGUAGGGGCCUAGCGUUGUCCGGAAUUAUUGGGCGUAAAGAGCUCGUAGGCGGUUCGGCAAGUCGGAUGUGAAAUCUCCACGCUUAACGUGGAGGGGCCAUUCGAAACUGCUGUGACUCGAGUCCGGUAGGGGAGUGUGGAAUUCCCGGUGUAGCGGUGAAAUGCGCAGAUAUCGGGAGGAACACCGGUGGCGAAGGCGGUUCUCUGGGCCUUACCUGACACUGAGGAGCGAAAGCGUGGGGAGCGAACAGG